AGGGUUUGAUUAUGGCUCAGGACGAACGCUGGCGGCGUGCUUAACACAUGCAAGUCGAACGGAGAUUUUAUUUCGGUAAAAUCUUAGUGGCGAACGGGUGAGUAACGCGUGGGCAACCUGCCCUCCGGAUGGGGACAACAUUCCGAAAGGGGUGCUAAUACCGAAUACGCUCACACUCCCGCAUGAGGGUGUGAGGAAAGAUGGCCUCUAUAUAUAAGCUAUCGCCGGAAGAUGGGCCUGCGUCUGAUUAGCUAGUAGGUGGGGUAACGGCUCACCUAGGCGAUGAUCAGUAGCCGGUCUGAGAGGAUGAACGGCCACAUUGGGACUGAGACACGGCCCAA
rnacentral:rRNA from 1 species